UACGAAGGGGGCUAGCGUUGUUCGGAAUUACUGGGCGUAAAGCGCACGUAGGCGGCUCGAUCAGUCAGGGGUGAAAUCCCAGAGCUCAACUCUGGAACUGCCUUUGAUACUGUCGAUCUAGAGUAUGGAAGAGGUGAGUGGAAUUCCGAGUGUAGAGGUGAAAUUCGUAGAUAUUCGGAGGAACACCAGUGGCGAAGGCGGCUCACUGGGCCAUUACUGACGCUGAGGUGCGAAAGCGUGGGGAGCAAACAGG
rnacentral:rRNA from 1 species